rnacentral:snoRNA from 12 species
UGGCGAUGAGGAAAUUAACUACUGUGUUGAAUCACGAUGAUAGUUGUGUAUACGCUAUUCUGAGCCAGCG